rnacentral:rRNA from 1 species
AUGGAGCGCAAAGCUUGUAUUGCACGAAGUUACCUAGAGCAAGUGUUAGUUGAUGAAGCCACAGAGCCCAAGAACCUGCCAUUAUCGCUGUUGGAGGACAUCACAAGUGAUUUCUCUCAUGACCAGGAGAUUGGAAGUGGUGGAUUUGCAGUGGUUUAUAAGGGAAUACUUGGUGAUAAGGAGAUAGCCGUGAAGAAGUUGUCCAACUUCUUAAUGACGGACACAGAAUUUGACCGAGAGGUCGAAUGCCUAAUGCGGGCAAAGCACAAAAAUGUAGUAAGAUUUCUGGGAUAUUGUGAUGACACACAAAGAAGUAGGGAAACAUUCGAUGGAAAACCUGUCAUGGCAGAGACCCGCCAAAGACUGCUUUGUUUCGAGUAUAUACCUAAUGGGAGUCUUUAUGAGUAUAUCAAGGAUCCAUAUCGUCAGUGGGGAACAUGCUACGAAAUAAUCAAAGGGAUUUGCAUGGGUCUACAAUACCUUCAUGAGAGCUUUAUUGUUCACUUGGAUUUAAAACCCGCCAAUAUACUUCUCGACAAUAAUAUGGUACCUAAAAUUGCUGAUUUUGGCCUGUCGAGAUACUUCGAUGAAAAUCAAAGCCGGGAUAUUACGAAAAACAUGUUUGGAACAGUGGGAUAUUGGGCACCUGAAUUUUCCGGAGGGGGUGUGAUCACACGCAGCGCUGACUUGUAUAGUCUUGGUGUUAUUAUCUUAGAAAUACUGACCGGGCAUAAGGGACAUGAACGUAUCGAGGACGUAAGGACAAGAUAUGUCAUUGUUAGAAAGAUGACAGAUCAGUUUCCCUUUUGGCUAAGAAGGGUCGACUUUAAAAUAAUUGUCACGCUUCCACAAUGCAUAUUGUCAUUAAGUUUUAGUUUUAGAUAUUGCGUAAUAUCAUUUAUGGCAGCACACCUAGUAGUUGUCCAGUGA